UACAGAGGUCUCACGCGUUGUUCGGAUUCAUUGGGCGUAAAGGGUGCGUAGGCGGCCUAUUAAGUCAGUGCUGAAAUAUCCCGGCUUAACCGGGAGGGUGGCAUUGAUACUGAUGGGCUUGAGUAGAGUUGAGGUUGGCGGAAUUGACGGUGUAGCGGUGAAAUGCUUAGAUAUCGUCAAGAACACCUAUUGCGAAGGCAGCUAACUAAGCUCAAACUGACGCUGAGGCACGAAAGUGUGGGGAUCAAACAGG
rnacentral:rRNA from 1 species